rnacentral:tRNA from 1 species
CCCGAAAUAGCUCAGUUGGGAGAGCGUUAGACUAUAGAUCGAAAAGUCCCUAGUUCGAUCCCCGGGUUCCGGCA